GGCAAGGUUCACAGAAACCCAGAAACUUACGACCAGCACAGGCCAGAAAGUGAGGCCCUGUCAGGACCAUGGAGAUGCACCCUAUUCUGGACCAUGUAAUCCAGAAGUCUGUCUCCAUGCCACCUCCAGGAGCCUGGCUGACCCCGGACCCACACCAAGAUUCUCUCUUUCUGUCAUCAGCUUCUAGAUAGAGUCUUGAACUCCGGGCUGCUUGGUUAACACCUCACAGAUGUGUGAAAUAUCCAGCAAAGUCUCCUGCAAGCCUCAGUUGAUGGUAACCCACAGGCCGGACAAAGAUGUGAUGGCAGAAGCCAGGGACAGGGAUGCCAUGCGUGAAGCUCUCUGUCAGACUGCGCCUUGUGUGUUACU
rnacentral:lncRNA from 1 species